AUCACAGCAAAAAAUAAUAAAUAAAUAAAAUACAUAGCAAAAUACACAAAAAAAUAAUAAACACAUUGUAUAUGCAUGUAGGUUUGUGUCUUUGUGCGAUAGGUCUAGAACUACGAGUACGCUGGUGGGCAAGUGCUUGGAUUUGAUAAGGAAUUGCCGCCGGCACCGGGUGCACAGUCACAGCUGCCAGACAACAGUCCAGAGAACGAUCCGAUCCGAUCCGCGGGGUAGACACCUCUUCCCGAACAAGGCUGAUGAAAUCGUCACAGUGCGUGGUCUCCGCGAGAGAUAGGACCACAGGCGGUCUGCCUGGCAUCUUGGCUGAGACGACGCCUCUUCGAUAACCUUUGGUCACUAAAGCACCAGUUGGUGCCGGAUUGAUCAGUCACAUCUUGUUGGUUGACUCUGCCCCUUGGACAUGGAUCACAGGGUACUAGAAGUUCUGCCCAAUCUUGAGACGGUGGCCAAACAGAAACAGGACGGCACCAUCCGCCAUGACUGCAGAUGACACUAUCAUCACAUCACCACCACAACGAAGGUGCCGGUCCCAAAACGGAAGGAGUGCCAACUGGUGAAACUUGGAGUUGUCUAUGUUAUAGAGGAGUUUCAUGUCAUUCAGAACAAAGCCAUUCGGACGCACAAGCGAAAAGUCCAAAAGAGAAUGCCCAUGAGGGAAAAAACAAAAUACACGUCCUGUGCAUAAAGAGACAGAUUGAUGCUAGACUCGUCUUUGUUCGAUAAAUGCUUCCACUUUUUGAGUCAUUUCGUUGAUGAUUUAAACAUUUUUAUUAGAAAGAUAUGAUAUUAACUGAGAUGUUUACAAAUUAUUCCUUAUCGAUUAUAAAAUAGAUUUCAUUUGUUAAAGAAAAUUAGGAAAAAUGGUAAUAUUUUGUUUUAAGAAAAAUGAGUUUAAAAAAAUAAUGAUAUUCACGGCUAAAUCAGCCACACUUUGUGUAGGUAACAUAAUUGAGUCAAAAAGUAAUAAUAUUCCGAUUAUAAAUA